rnacentral:rRNA from 1 species
UGGGGAAUAUUGCACAAUGGGGGAAACCCUGAUGCAGCGACGCCGCGUGAGCGAUGAAGUAUUUCGGUAUGUAAAGCUCUAUCAGCAGGGAAGAAAAUGACGGUACCUGACCUAAGAAGCCCCGGCUAACUACGUGCCAGCAGCCG